GAUGAACGCUGGCGGCGUGCUUAACACAUGCAAGUCGAACGGAAAGGCCAGUGCUUGCACUGGUACUCGAGUGGCGAACGGGUGAGUAACACGUGGGUGAUCUGCCCUGCACUUCGGGAUAAGCCUGGGAAACUGGGUCUAAUACCGGAUAGGACAAUGGUUUGGAUGCCGUUGUGGAAAGUUUUUUCGGUGUGGGAUGAGCUCGCGGCCUAUCAGCUUGUUGGUGGGGUAAUGGCCUACCAAGGCGUCGACGGGUAGCCGGCCUGAGAGGGUGUACGGCCACAUUGGGACUGAGAUACGGACCAGACUCCUACGGGAGGCAGCAGUGGGGAAUAUUGCACAAUGGGCGCAAGCCUGAUGCAGCGACGCCGCGUGGGGGAUGACGGCCUUCGGGUUGUAAACUCCUUUCGCUGGGGACGAAGCGUAUUUGUGACGGUACCUGGAGAAGAAGCACCGGCUAACUACGUG
rnacentral:rRNA from 1 species